rnacentral:rRNA from 1 species
GGGUUGUGAGGUUAAGCGACUAAGCGUACACGGUGGAUGCCCUGGCAGUCAGAGGCGAUGAAGGACGUGCUAAUCUGCGAAAAGCGUCGGUAAGGUGAUAUGAACCGUUAUAACCGGCGAUGUCCGAAUGGGGAAACCCAGUGUGAUUCGUCACACUAUCGUUAACUGAAUACAUAGGUUAACGAGGCGAACCGGGGGAACUGAAACAUCUAAGUACCCCGAGGAAAAGAAAUCAACCGAGAUUCCCCCAGUAGCGGCGAGCGAACGGGGAGCAGCCCAGAGUCUGAAUCAGCUUGUGUGUUAGUGGAACGGUCUGGAAAGUCCGACGGUACAGGGUGAUAGUCCCGUACACCAAAAUGCACAGGUUGUGAACUCGAAGAGUAGGGCGGGACACGUGGUAUCCUGUCUGAAUAUGGGGGACCAUCCUCCAAGGCUAAAUACUCCUGACUGACCGAUAGUGAACCAGUACCGUGAGGGAAAGGCGAAAAGAACCCCGGCGAGGGGAGUGAAAAAGAACCUGAAACCGUGUACGUACAAGCAGUGGGAGCACCUUCGGGUGUGACUGCGUACCUUUUGUAUAAUGGGUCAGCGACUUAUAUUCUGUAGCAAGGUUAACCGUAUAGGGGAGCCGCAGGGAAACCGAGUCUUAACUGGGCGUUAAGUUGCAGGGUAUAGACCCGAAACCCGGUGAUCUAGCCAUGGGCAGGUUGAAGGUUGGGUAACACUAACUGGAGGACCGAACCGACUAAUGUUGAAAAAUUAGCGGAUGACUUGUGGCUGGGGGUGAAAGGCCAAUCAAACCGGGAGAUAGCUGGUUCUCCCCGAAAGCUAUUUAGGUAGCGCCUCGUGAACUCAUCUUCGGGGUAGAGCACUGUUUCGGCUAGGGGGUCAUCCCGACUUACCAACCCGAUGCAAACUACGAAUACCGAAGAAUGUUAUCACGGGAGACACACGGCGGGUGCUAACGUCCGUCGUGAAGAGGGAAACAACCCAGACCGCCAGCUAAGGUCCCAAAGUCAUGGUUAAGUGGGAAACGAUGUGGGAAGGCACAGACAGCCAGGAUGUUGGCUUAGAAGCAGCCAUCAUUUAAAGAAAGCGUAAUAGCUCACUGGUCGAGUCGGCCUGCGCGGAAGAUGUAACGGGGCUAAACCAUGCACCGAAGCUGCGGCAGCGACACUAUGUGUUGUUGGGUAGGGGAGCGUUCUGUAAGCCUGCGAAGGUGACCUGUGAGGGUUGCUGGAGGUAUCAGAAGUGCGAAUGCUGACAUAAGUAACGAUAAAGCGGGUGAAAAGCCCGCUCGCCGGAAGACCAAGGGUUCCUGUCCAACGUUAAUCGGGGCAGGGUGAGUCGACCCCUAAGGCGAGGCCGAAAGGCGUAGUCGAUGGGAAACAGGUUAAUAUUCCUGUACUUGGUGUUACUGCGAAGGGGGGACGGAGAAGGCUAUGUUAGCCGGGCGACGGUUGUCCCGGUUUAAGCAUGUAGGCUGGUUGUCCAGGCAAAUCCGGAUAAUCAAGGCUGAGGUGUGAUGACGAGGCACUACGGUGCUGAAGUAACAAAUGCCCUGCUUCCAGGAAAAGCCUCUAAGCAUCAGGUAACAUCAAAUCGUACCCCAAACCGACACAGGUGGUCAGGUAGAGAAUACCAAGGCGCUUGAGAGAACUCGGGUGAAGGAACUAGGCAAAAUGGUGCCGUAACUUCGGGAGAAGGCACGCUGGUGUGUAGGUGAAGUCCCUGCGGAUGGAGCUGAGACCAGUCGAAGAUACCAGCUGGCUGCAACUGUUUAUUAAAAACACAGCACUGUGCAAACACGAAAGUGGACGUAUACGGUGUGACGCCUGCCCGGUGCCGGAAGGUUAAUUGAUGGGGUUAUCCGUAAGGAGAAGCUCUUGAUCGAAGCCCCGGUAAACGGCGGCCGUAACUAUAACGGUCCUAAGGUAGCGAAAUUCCUUGUCGGGUAAGUUCCGACCUGCACGAAUGGCGUAAUGAUGGCCAGGCUGUCUCCACCCGAGACUCAGUGAAAUUGAACUCGCUGUGAAGAUGCAGUGUACCCGCGGCAAGACGGAAAGACCCCGUGAACCUUUACUAUAGCUUGACACUGAACAUUGAGCCUUGAUGUGUAGGAUAGGUGGGAGGCUUUGAAGCGUGGACGCCAGUCUGCGUGGAGCCAACCUUGAAAUACCACCCUUUAAUGUUUGAUGUUCUAACGUUGGCCCCUUACCGGGGUUGCGGACAGUGUCUGGUGGGUAGUUUGACUGGGGCGGUCUCCUCCCAAAGCGUAACGGAGGAGCACGAAGGUUAGCUAAUCCUGGUCGGACAUCAGGAGGUUAGUGCAAUGGCAUAAGCUAGCUUGACUGCGAGCGUGACGGCGCGAGCAGGUGCGAAAGCAGGUCAUAGUGAUCCGGUGGUUCUGAAUGGAAGGGCCAUCGCUCAACGGAUAAAAGGUACUCCGGGGAUAACAGGCUGAUACCGCCCAAGAGUUCAUAUCGACGGCGGUGUUUGGCACCUCGAUGUCGGCUCAUCACAUCCUGGGGCUGAAGUAGGUCCCAAGGGUAUGGCUGUUCGCCAUUUAAAGUGGUACGCGAGCUGGGUUUAGAACGUCGUGAGACAGUUCGGUCCCUAUCUGCCGUGGGCGCUGGAGAAUUGAGGGGGGCUGCUCCUAGUACGAGAGGACCGGAGUGGACGCAUCACUGGUGUUCGGGUUGUCAUGCCAAUGGCACUGCCCGGUAGCUAAAUGCGGAAGAGAUAAGUGCUGAAAGCAUCUAAGCACGAAACUUGCCCCGAGAUGAGUUCUCCCUGAGACUUUAAGUCUCCUGAAGGAACGUUAAAGACGAUGACGUUGAUAGGCCGGGUGUGUAAGCGCAGCGAUGCGUUGAGCUAACCGGUACUAAUGAACCGUGAGGCUUAACCUUACAACGCCGAAG